rnacentral:lncRNA from 1 species
AUACAUAGUAGGAUGUCUAAUCCUCUCAAAAGGUACUUGAGUAUGCUUAACAGAGGACGUAGAGAAAAUUAUUUCUCAUGGGAGAUAGGAAAUAUAGAGAUGAUUCCAAAAUCUACAACGAGGCGAUGUGAGACAUCGACUCUAAGAAAAGAUGUGAAAUAUCUUUUCUGAGUAGAGAUCUUUUGAAGAUUUAUAUAUAAAAUAGCCUAUGGAUUUCACUUCUUGUGAUAGGUGAUC